GCCUGGGUGGCUCAGUAAGUUAAGCAUCCGAUUUCGGAUCGGGUCACGAUCUCAUGGUCCGUGGGUUCAAACCCUGCGUCGGGCU
rfam:Felis catus isolate Cinnamon breed Abyssinian chromosome A1, whole genome shotgun sequence.